GACGAACGCUGGCGGCGUGCCUAACACAUGCAAGUUGAGCGACGAACCAGGGCUUGCCCUGGGGCAAAGCAGCGAACGGGUGAGUAACACGUGGGUAACCUACCCCGAUAACCGGGACAACCCGAGUCAACUAGGGCUAAUACCGGAUGUGCUCACUGGACUUCGGUUCAGUGCGUAAAGGAAGCUUCGGCCUCCGUAUCGGGAGGGGCCCGCGGCCCAUUAGUUUGUUGGUGAGGUAACGGCUCACCAAGACCGCGAUGGGUAGCUGGUCUGAGAGGAUGAUCAGCCACACUGGGACUGAGACACGGCCCAGACUCCUACGGGAGGCAGCAGUGGGGAAUCUUGCGCAAUGCGCGAAAGCGUGACGCAGCAACGCCGCGUGGGGGAAGAAGGCCUUCGGGUUGUAAACCCCUUUCAGGAGGGACGAAGGUUCGUCGGUGAAUAGCCGUCCGGACUGACGGUACCUCCACAAGAAGCCCCGGCUAACUACGUG
rnacentral:rRNA from 1 species